rnacentral:rRNA from 1 species
UACGGAGGAUCCAAGCGUUAUCCGGAUUUAUUGGGUUUAAAGGGUGCGUAGGCGGCUUUAUAAGUCAGGGGUGAAAGACGGCAGCUUAACUGUCGCAGUGCCUUUGAUACUGUAGAGCUUGAAUUUGAUUGAAGAUGGCGGAAUGAGACAAGUAGCGGUGAAAUGCAUAGAUAUGUCUCAGAACUCCGAUUGCGAAGGCAGCUGUCUAAGUCAACAUUGACGCUGAUGCACGAAAGCGUGGGGAUCGAACAGG